CAGCCGCCGCGGUAAUACGGAAGGUCCAGGCGUUAUCCGGAUUUAUUGGGUUUAAAGGGAGUGUAGGCGGUCUGUUAAGCGUGUUGUGAAAUUUAGGUGCUCAACAUUUAACUUGCAGCGCGAACUGGCGGACUUGAGUGCACGCAACGUAUGCGGAAUUCAUGGUGUAGCGGUGAAAUGCUUAGAUAUCAUGACGAACUCCGAUUGCGAAGGCAGCGUACGGGAGUGUUACUGACGCUUAAGCUCGAAGGUGCGGGUAUCGAACAGGAUUAGAUACCCCUGUAGUCCCUGUCUCUUAUAC
rnacentral:rRNA from 1 species